GGUCAAGUGAAGAAGCGCAUACGGUGGAUGCCUUGGCAGUCAGAGGCGAUGAAAGACGUGGUAGCCUGCGAAAAGCUUCGGGGAGUCGGCAAACAGACUGUGAUCCGGAGAUGUCUGAAUGGGGGAACCCAGCCAUCAUAAGAUGGUUAUCUUGUACUGAAUACAUAGGUGCAAGAGGCGAACCAGGGGAACUGAAACAUCUAAGUACCCUGAGGAAAAGAAAUCAACCGAGAUUCCCUUAGUAGUGGCGAGCGAACGGGGACCAGCCCUUAAGUUGUAUUGAGAUUAGCGGAACGUUCUGGAAAGGACGGCCAUAGUGGGUGAUAGCCCUGUACGCGAAAAUCCCUUUGCAAUGAAAUCGAGUAGGACGGGGCACGAGAAACCUUGUCUGAAUAUGGGGGGACCAUCCUCCAAGGCUAAAUACUACUGACUGACCGAUAGUGAACCAGUACCGUGAGGGAAAGGCGAAAAGAACCGCGGAGAGCGGAGUGAAAUAGAUCCUGAAACCGUAUGCGUACAAGCAGUGGGAGCCCACUUUGUUGGGUGACUGCGUACCUUUUGUAUAAUGGGUCAGCGACUUAUUUUCAGUGGCGAGCUUAACCGAAUAGGGGAGGCGUAGCGAAAGCGAGUCUUAAUAGGGCGUCUAGUCGCUGGGAAUAGACCCGAAACCGGGCGAUCUAUCCAUGGGCAGGUUGAAGGUUGGGUAACACUAACUGGAGGACCGAACCGACUACCGUUGAAAAGUUAGCGGAUGACCUGUGGAUCGGAGUGAAAGGCUAAUCAAGCUCGGAGAUAGCUGGUUCUCCUCGAAAGCUAUUUAGGUAGCGCCUCAUGUAUCACUGUAGGGGGUAGAGCACUGUUUCGGCUAGGGGGUCAUCCCGACUUACCAAACCGAUGCAAACUCCGAAUACCUACAAGUGCCGAGCAUGGGAGACACACGGCGGGUGCUAACGUCCGUCGUGAAAAGGGAAACAACCCAGACCGUCAGCUAAGGUCCCAAAGUCAUGGUUAAGUGGGAAACGAUGUGGGAAGGCUUAGACAGCUAGGAGGUUGGCUUAGAAGCAGCCACCCUUUAAAGAAAGCGUAAUAGCUCACUAGUCGAGUCGGCCUGCGCGGAAGAUGUAACGGGGCUCAAACCAUGCACCGAAGCUACGGGUAUCAUCUUUUGAUGAUGCGGUAGAGGAGCGUUCUGUAAGCCUGUGAAGGUGAGUUGAGAAGCUUGCUGGAGGUAUCAGAAGUGCGAAUGCUGACAUGAGUAACGACAAUGGGUGUGAAAAACACCCACGCCGAAAGACCAAGGUUUCCUGCGCAACGUUAAUCGACGCAGGGUUAGUCGGUCCCUAAGGCGAGGCUGAAAAGCGUAGUCGAUGGAAAACAGGUUAAUAUUCCUGUACUUCUGGUUAUUGCGAUGGAGGGACGGAGAAGGCUAGGCCAGCCUGGCGUUGGUAGUCCAGGUUUAAGGUGGUAGGCUGAGAUCUUAGGUAAAUCCGGGAUCUUAAGGCCGAGAGCUGAUGACGAGUGUUCUUUUAGAACACGAAGUGGUUGAUGCCAUGCUUCCAAGAAAAGCUUCUAAGCUUCAGGUAACCAGGAACCGUACCCCAAACCGACACAGGUGGUUGGGUAGAGAAUACCAAGGCGCUUGAGAGAACUCGGGUGAAGGAACUAGGCAAAAUGGCACCGUAACUUCGGGAGAAGGUGCGCCGGUGGAGGUGAAGCAUUUACUGCGUAAGCCCCUGCCGGUCGAAGAUACCAGGCCGCUGCGACUGUUUAUUAAAAACACAGCACUCUGCAAACACGAAAGUGGACGUAUAGGGUGUGACGCCUGCCCGGUGCCGGAAGGUUAAUUGAUGGGGUUAGCGCAAGCGAAGCUCUUGAUCGAAGCCCCGGUAAACGGCGGCCGUAACUAUAACGGUCCUAAGGUAGCGAAAUUCCUUGUCGGGUAAGUUCCGACCUGCACGAAUGGCGUAACGAUGGCGGCGCUGUCUCCACCCGAGACUCAGUGAAAUUGAAAUCGCUGUGAAGAUGCAGUGUAUCCGCGGCUAGACGGAAAGACCCCGUGAACCUUUACUAUAGCUUUGCACUGGACUUUGAAUUUGCUUGUGUAGGAUAGGUGGGAGGCUUUGAAGCGUGGACGCCAGUCUGCGUGGAGCCAACCUUGAAAUACCACCCUGGCAACUUUGAGGUUCUAACUCAGGUCCGUUAUCCGGAUCGAGGACAGUGUAUGGUGGGUAGUUUGACUGGGGCGGUCUCCUCCUAAAGAGUAACGGAGGAGUACGAAGGUGCGCUCAGACCGGUCGGAAAUCGGUCGUAGAGUAUAAAGGCAAAAGCGCGCUUGACUGCGAGACAGACACGUCGAGCAGGUACGAAAGUAGGUCUUAGUGAUCCGGUGGUUCUGUAUGGAAGGGCCAUCGCUCAACGGAUAAAAGGUACUCCGGGGAUAACAGGCUGAUACCGCCCAAGAGUUCAUAUCGACGGCGGUGUUUGGCACCUCGAUGUCGGCUCAUCACAUCCUGGGGCUGAAGCCGGUCCCAAGGGUAUGGCUGUUCGCCAUUUAAAGUGGUACGCGAGCUGGGUUUAGAACGUCGUGAGACAGUUCGGUCCCUAUCUGCCGUGGACGUUUGAGAUUUGAGAGGGGCUGCUCCUAGUACGAGAGGACCGGAGUGGACGAACCUCUGGUGUUCCGGUUGUCACGCCAGUGGCAUUGCCGGGUAGCUAUGUUCGGAAAAGAUAACCGCUGAAAGCAUCUAAGCGGGAAACUUGCCUCAAGAUGAGAUCUCACUGGAACCUUGAGUUCCCUAAAGGGCCGUCGAAGACUACGACGUUGAUAGGUUGGGUGUGUAAGCGCUGUGAGGCGUUGAGCUAACCAAUACUAAUUGCCCGUGAGGCUUGACCAU
rnacentral:rRNA from 5 species